GGGUGUGUAGCUCAGUGGUAGAGCGCGUCUCUUAUAAAGCCGAUGUCCUUGGUUCGAUCCCAAGCACACCCA
rnacentral:tRNA from 1 species